UGGGGAAUAUUGGACAAUGGGCGAAAGCCUGAUCCAGCCAUGCCGUGUGUGAAGAAGGUCUUCGGAUUUUAAAGCACUUUAAGUUGGGAGGAAGGGCAGUAAGCGAAUACCUUGCUGUUUUGACGUUACCGACAGAAUAAGCACCGGCUAACUCUGUGCCAGCAGCCGCGGUAAUACAGAGGGUGCAAGCGUUAAUCGGAAUUACUGGGCGUAAAGCGCGCGUAGGUGGUUCGUUAAGUUGAAUGUGAAAGCCCCGGGCUCAACCUGGGAACUGCAUCCAAAACUGGCGAGCUAGGGUAAGGCGGAGGGUGGUGGAAUUUCCUGUGUAGCGGUGAAAUGCGUAGAUAUAGGAAGGAACACCAGGGGCGAAGGCGACCACCUGGGCUCAUACUGACACUGAGGUGCGAAAGCGUGGGGAGCAAACAGG
rnacentral:rRNA from 1 species